rnacentral:lncRNA from 1 species
AAUUAAUUAUAAGAAAUGGAAAAAGAAAGAACAACCGUAAGAGUGAACCUGUGUAGCUAAGCCAAUACUUAAUAUCUGUAUAAAUAACAACAAAUGAAGAAGUGUUAAAUAGCAAUAAUAUAUAUAUAUAUAUACCAGUACAACUUUAUGAGGCACCAAAUAAUGGAAUCAAACUGAUUGUUGCCACUGGCCAUCACAGAUAAUGCUAAUGAUCAUAUGACACAUUAAGGAUGAUUGUAAAAUUUGAAACUUGAGCUGCCGUUUUGGGCUUUAGAAAAAAAUGAUUGUAUUUUGUUCAUAAACUUUUAUGAAUAUGCAAAAAUGCAAUUAUUUUGGAUUCUUUUAUCAAGGUUAUUUUCGGCCAGUCGUUUGAGGUAUAUAGGAUCCGAAUUCUCUCUAUUUGAAGGUCUAAAUUUAAAAUUAUUAUAUCUAAGGCCUAGAAAUUAUUAUCUUAUUUAAAAGUUAUUAACUUAACUCUAAUCAUUUCAUUUAAAAUCCACUAACCAAACUCUAAUCAUUAAUUUAAUAUAACACUAUAUUAUUAUUAUUAUUAUUAUUAUUAUUAUUAUUAUUAUUAUUAUUAUUUUGUAUUCUAUUUUUUUCUUCUAUUUUUGGUGCAAAAGUUAUGUACUUAUUUUGUCUAAAUAUUUAUUGAUCAGUGGAGCUUUGUUAUGAGUAUUUAUCAUGUUAAGGUUAUGAAGGACAAAAAAAGAAGAAUAAAAUAGAAAUUAUAACCUAUAAUUUACUCAUUUUUUUUACUUGACUACAUGUAAUCCUAAUUUACACAUGGGAACCUACAGUUUUGAGUUAAACUACAUAUCAAAUAAUAUUAAUUUUUUUGCUACGUUCAUUAAUUAAAUGACGGGUAAAAACUAAUUUUCUUUUAAGUUAUUUCAUACAUAUUAAGAUUUGUUAAAGAAAUAUUUUUAAAAUCCAUGUAAUUUUUUAAUAGGAUAAUGGAUCGGCAUUUUAUUAAAUUUUUGUAGCAUAAAUUUUUUUGUCAUUCCUAACCUUAACAUAAUAAAGUGUUCAUCACAAAGCUCCACUCAAUAAAUAUUUAGACAAAAUAGGUACAUAUAUAACUUUCGCACCAUAAAAAAAAGAAGAAAAAAAUAGAAUACAAAAUAAUAAUAAUACUGUAAUAAUAAUAAAAUAAUUAUUAAAAAAACUAAUGAGGGACAUAACAAAGUACUAAUUAAUAAUAAUAAUAAUAUAUUAGUGUUAUAUUAAAUUAAUAACUAGAGUUAGGUUAAUGACUUUAAAAUAAAGUAGCUAGAGUCAAGUUAAUAACUCUUAAAUGAGGUGCCUACUUCUAAAUUUUAUAUCUAAUAAUUUUAAAUCAGACCCUUUAAAUAGAGUCUGUCUAUUUCAUGAAUCCUGAGAAAGGCUCAAAAAAAUACUCCAUACAAACAGAAAAAAAAUAUAAUUUGAAAAAAUUAAGUAGAAGUGAUACCUUAUCUUUUAAGAAUUAGAGAUAAUUUUAAUUUUUAAAUUUACGAGCAUAUCACCGAAUUUAAAAUGUAUUCAAUUUUUAUUUAAUUUUAGUGUGACUAACUAUAAUUAUUAUAUAUUUAUUAAAAAUGUGAUUAAUGUAUAAUACUACUAGUAUUUGGUACUUUUAAAACUCAUAAAAAAAAGUCAAAAUUUAACUUGCAUUUUUGGGAACAAAUAGGAUAUAUAAUUACCUACGAUACGACCAAAGCAGAAAAGAACAGUGUCACGUGUACAGUUCUGACAAUUUAACUCCCACGUGAGUUGUUUGAUAAGAUUGGGGUCUCUAUUUGCAUGUGAGACCACUAUGUGUAUCCGGAUUUGUGAAGAUCAUCGGAGUGGCGUCUCGUCUGCAUCGUGUGAAUCAGUACUCGUGUGGAUGGGAGGAGAGUACUGUAUUCAGUAUAGUACAGGGACAUAUAUUCUGUCAUAAAAAUUAUCAAAAAUUCUUUAAUUUCAAUACUUUUUUUGGACAUUAUUGAGUUAUAGUAUUUGAAUAAAGAUAUUAACUGCAUCAUUUAUUUUCUUUACGAGUUCUUCUUGUGGACCAGAAAAAUUAUGGAUGUUAAAUUUAAAUAUACCUCUUGUUUAAUUUUUUUUGUUCCAUUUUCCUGUCUAUUAAGAUUUUUUGUUUCUUAUAAUCAAAUAAGUACAAAAAAUUAUCCGGUCCGAAUUGAAGGAAUAGGUUUUUCCUAGUUAAUUAACUGAAACAUUAAUUAUGGAUCUUAAUAAACACGCAUAUCUCCAUAUAUAUAGCUCUAUAUAUAUAUAUAUACUGUGUAAACUCAUAAGAUAUUACUCUGAAUUAUUUAACUCAAUAAUCAAAGAUAGAAUGAUUUAUUCAAGAUAGAAGACUUGCUUUAUGAAUAAUCAAGAUAUGAUUUUCUGGACCGAAACAUAAUAAAUAAACCAGGUUAUCUGUGUGUAAAGAAAUAAAUAUGAAUAAAGCAUGCAUGUUACGUAAAGAUGUGAGGGUCCAAUAAUGUAUAUAAUGCUUAAAUUAAUAUAAAGAUACUUUAUAUACUUAAAACUCUAAUAUCAUGUUGCGUAAUUAACUCAUCUAAAAAUUUAAGUUGAUAAAUUUUGAUUAUCCACAUAACUAUUAUUUAAAUUAAAUAAAUUAAAUUUGAAUAAUAGGCUCACCAUUGAAUGGAUUGCGUUCAUCUGCGUCUUUUAUUGUUGAAUUGAACUGUACAAGAUGACCCUAGCCUUCCAUUCAAUGUUGGAGUUCGAUC